rnacentral:rRNA from 1 species
CCUACGGGUGGCAGCAGUCGAGAAUCAUUCACAAUGGGGGAAACCCUGAUGGUGCGACGCCGCGUGGGGGAAUGAAGGUCUUCGGAUUGUAAACCCCUGUCAUGUGGGAGCAAAUUAAAAAGAUAGUACCCCAAGAGGAAGAGACGGCUAACUCUGUGCCAGCAGCCGCGGUAAUACAGGGGUCUCAAGCGUUGUUCGGAAUCACUGGGCGUAAAGCGUGCGUAGGCUGUUUCGUAAGUCGUGUGUGAAAGGCGCGGGCUCAACCCGCGGACGGCACAUGAUACUGCGAGACUAGAGUAAUGGAGGGGGAACCGGAAUUCUCGGUGUAGCAGUGAAAUGCGUAGAUAUCGAGAGGAACACUCGUGGCGAAGGCGGGUUCCUGGACAUUAACUGACGCUGAGGCACGAAGGCCAGGGGAGCGAAAGGGAUUAGAUACCCCUGUAGUC